CCUACGGGGAGCAGCAGUGAGGAAUAUUGGUCAAUGGACGCGAGUCUGAACCAGCCAAGUAGCGUGAAGGAUGACUGCCCUAUGGGUUGUAAACUUCUUUUAUAUGGGAAUAAAAUGUUCCACGUGUGGGAUUUUGUAUGUACCAUAUGAAUAAGGAUCGGCUAACUCCGUGCCAGCAGCCGCGGUAAUACGGAGGAACCGAGCGUUAUCCGGAUUUAUUGGGUUUAAAGGGAGCGUAGGUGGAUUGUUAAGUCAGUUGUGAAAGUUUGCGGCUCAACCGUAAAAUUGCAGUUGAAACUGGCAGUCUUGAGUACAGUAGAGGUGGGCGGAAUGCGUGGUGUAGCGGUGAAAUGCUUAGAUAUCACGAAGAACUCCGAUUGCGAAGGCAGUUCACUGGACUGCAACUGACACUGAGGCUCGAAAGUGUGGGUAUCAAACAGGAUUAGAUACCCCUGUAGUC
rnacentral:rRNA from 1 species